CUAUUAAACUUUCCACAUGCAAAAGAUUUUAAAGCCAUUAUCAAUAGCUGUCUCUUAGAGUAGGGCCUUCUCGUAAAUUCCAAAUCCUGAAGUGACUAACAGGUAAACAAAGGUAUAGUGUUCAUCUGUCACACAGAGUCACCAAGUGAACAUGAGGCAGUAAGUGAGCACUGGUGGCCCAGUGCCUGGGCUGUUUCUUAGUCUAAGCUAAUCUGAGACAAACCAGCAAUGUGGAAAGAGUUUGGGCUUUGACAUGAAACAGACCCAUGUUCAAAUAACAGCUCUGCCAUUUACUAGCUAAGGAACCUUGGCAAUUACUUACCGUCUCAGAGCUUCAAGUGCAUCUUGUGUAGAACGGAGAAAACAAGACCUACUUUGCAGAGUCACUGUCAAUAUAAGACAAUAUAUAUCACAUUUCCUAGCAUAAGGCAAGAGCUCAAAAAAUGGCAGCUAUUAUCAUGAUUCAGAAGUCAGGUAGGUUAAGCAAAGUCAAGGGUAAUUAGGUUGCCUAUCACUAGAUGAAGCAAGUCUAAGGCAGUCACAGCCAUGAGAGACUACAAGGGCCAUGUCGGCCUGUUAACUGGGAACCCUGAGGAAGUAGCAAUCACAUCCACAGGCUUCAUCCUGCAUAAAUGAUCCAUCAUCUCCUUGAAGAAAGGCUACAGGGGGAACUAGAUGGGGAACCACACUGUUCUUGUAAUGUGACUGGAUGCUGUGGUUCUGUGCUGAUGUGUUUGAUCCCUGCUCCUAGAGGUACCAACACUGUUACUAUUUCAUAUUUAAGAAGCUGCUGCAACUGGCUGGUAUUAAGCCAGGGCUCUAUUGAUAACCAGGACAAUUUUGUUAAAGCUACCUCUGAUGUCUUAUCAUAAACCUACAGCUAUCAUUCCUCUUACUUCUAGUAAGAAACUAUGUCCUCCACAUCUCCUUUCCAGGAAUUCACAGACCAUCGUGCAUAGACCACACCUGAGUCCACAUCUCCUUUCCAGGAAUUCAUGGACCAUCUUGUAAAGACCACAUCUGAGUUCACGGCAGAGCACCAGGUCUGAGAGUUGUCUCUAAGGUGGUUGAGAGACGUCAGUGCACGAGAGGUUGAAGUUAGUAUUUAUUGUCUUAAUUCAAGAACAAUCCCACCAGCCUCUUGAGUCUUACAAAUAACUUCAUGAUGGACUGAAAUCACUCAGUGAUGAAUGUUCAGUGACCCAUUCAAAGCCACAAGAGCAGCAAGUGUAAACGAUGUAGAACUGUUCAGUAAUCUGAAAAUGUAAAAGUCAGAGGGAUAGAAUGUUGUUUGGGUUUUUAAGACCUCUCAUAUCCCUCAGGAGCUUAAUGAGGUAGGAGUAGAAUGAAUGCUCUUCAAGAGCAGUUUUCAAGCUAAGAUUCCAAUUCACUUUGUCUUGCGGGGUGUGUGUGGGGGGGGGGCGGUGUAAAAAUCUGUAUUUUAUUUAUUUUAUUUUUUUAAGAUUGGCAACUGACCUAACAUCUGUUGCUAAUCUUUUUGUUUUUUUCCCUUCUUCUUCU
rnacentral:lncRNA from 1 species